rnacentral:snRNA from 1 species
CUGAUAGCGCUUAAGCGCGAA